rfam:Apaloderma vittatum contig44057, whole genome shotgun sequence.
GUGUCGGUCAGCUCAGUCAGUAGAGCGUAGCGCUAACAACGCUAAGGUCGUGGGUUCGAUUCCCGUUUGGUCCC